GGAGGCCCUGUCGGUUCUCCCGCAACACUAUCCUGUGGACUCGGUCAGAUCCGGAAGGAAGCAGCCGCAGCAGGAGACGUGUGUGCCGGGAUGUAGCUGGCGGGGCCUCCACCAAUU
rnacentral:SRP_RNA from 1 species